rnacentral:rRNA from 1 species
GACGAACGCUGGCGGCGUGCCUAAUACAUGCAAGUCGUGCGGACCUUUUAAAAGCUUGCUUUUAAAAGGUUAGCGGCGGACGGGUGAGUAACACGUGGGCAACCUGCCUGUAAGACUGGGAUAACUCCGGGAAACCGGGGCUAAUACCAGAUCGUUUUUUCCUCCGCAUGGAGGAAAAAGGAAAGACGGCUUCGGCUUCCCCUUACAGAUGGGCCCGCGGCGCAUUAGCUAUUUGUCGGGUUACGGGCCCACAAAGGAACCGAUGCGUACCCGCCCGGAGGGGGGAUCGGGCACAACGGGACUGAGACACGGCCCAAACCCCUAAGGGAGGCCGCAGUAAGGGAACUUUCGGCAUGGACGAAAGUCUGACGGGGCAACGGCGGGGGGGUGAAGAAGGCCUUCGGGUCGGAAAACUCCUUUGCCGGGGAAGAACAAGUGCCGUUCGAACAGGGCGGCGCCUUGACGGUACCCGGCCAGAAAGCCACGGCUAACUACGUG